rnacentral:ncRNA from 2 species
GGGCGUGACGACACUGUGUCGUCACAGGCAUUACGGGGGGUCGGGCCGCCUUUCG